AGAGUUUGAUCCUGGCUCAGAACGAACGCUGGCGGCGUGCCUAACACAUGCAAGUCGAACGUGAAAGUCCUUCGGGAUGAGUAAAGUGGCGCACGGGUGAGUAAUGCGUAGAUAAUCUGCCUGAUGAUCUGGGAUAACAUCUCGAAAGGGGUGCUAAUACCGGAUAAGCCCACGGGCUCUUCGGAGCUUGCGGGAAAAAGGGGGGACCUUCGGGCCUUCUGUCAUCAGAUGAGUCUACGUAACAUUAGCUAGUUGGUAGGGUAAAAGCCUACCAAGGCGACGAUCUGUAGCGGGUCUGAGAGGAUGAUCCGCCACACUGGAACUGAGACACGGUCCAGACUCCUACGGGAGGCAGCAGUGGGGGAUUUUGGACAAUGGGCGAAAGCCUGAUCCAGCCAUGCCGCGUGAGUGAAGAAGGCCUUCGGGUUGUAAAGCUCUUUCGGCCGGGAAGAAAUCGCAUAGGUUAAUACCCUGUGUGGAUGACGGUACCGGAAUAAGAAGCACCGGCUAACUACGUGCCAGCAGCCCGCGGUAAUACGUAGGGUGCCGAGCGUUAAUCGGAAUUACUGGGCGUAAAGCGUGCGCAGGCGGUUUUUUAAGACAGGCGUGAAAUCCCCGGGCUUAACCUGGGAACUGCGCUUGUGACUGGAAGGCUGGAGUACGGCAGAGGGGGGUGGAAUUCCACGUGUAGCAGUGAAAUGCGUAGAGAUGUGGAGGAACACCGAUGGCGAAGGCAGCCCCCUGGGCCGAUACUGACGCUCAUGCACGAAAGCGUGGGGAGCAAACAGGAUUAGAUACCCUGGUAGUCCACCCCCCUAACGAUGUCAACUAGGUGUUGGGUGGGUAAAACCAUUUAGUACCGGAGCUAACGCGUGAAGUCGACCGCCUGGGGAGUACGGCCGCAAGGUUAAAACUCAAAGGAAUUGACGG
rnacentral:rRNA from 1 species